GUAACACGUGGAUAAUCUGCCCUUUAGUUGGGGAAUACCUCCUGGAAACGGGAGACAAUACCGCAUAAGCUCGUGAGAGGAAAGCCGAAAGGCGCUGAAAGAGGAGUCCGCGGCUGAUUAGCUAGAUGGCGGGGUAACGGCCCACCAUGGCGAAGAUCGGUAGCCGGCCUGAGAGGGCACACGGCACACUGGCACUGAAACACGGGCCAGACUCCUACGGGAGGCAGCAGUGGGGAAUCUUGCACAAUGGGGGAAACCCUGAUGCAGCGACGCCGCGUGAGCGAUGAAGCCCUUCGGGGUGUAAAGCUCUUUCGACGGGAACGAUAAUGACGGUACCCGAAGAAGAAGCUGCGGCUAACUACGUGCCAGCAGCCGCGGUAAUACGUAGGCAGCAAGCGUUGUUCGGAAUUACUGGGCGUAAAGAGUAUGUAGGCGGUGUUCUAAGUCUGUUGUGAAAUCUCCCGGCUCAACUGGGAGGGUGCGGCGGAACUGGAAUGCUAGAGUAUGGGAGAGGUAA
rnacentral:rRNA from 1 species